GGGUCGUUAGCAUAACAGGGAAUGCUCCUGAUUCUUAAUCAGGAAGAUCUCGGUUCGAUUCCGAGGCGGCCUACCA
rnacentral:tRNA from 2 species